rnacentral:rRNA from 1 species
AUUGAACGCUGGCGGCAUGCUUUACACAUGCAAGUCGAACGGCAGCAUAGGUGCUUGCACCUGAUGGCGAGUGGCGAACGGGUGAGUAAUAUAUCGGAACAUGUCCGGAAGUGGGGGAUAACGUAGCGAAAGUUACGCUAAUACCGCAUAUGCCCUGAGGGGGAAAGGGGGGGAUCGUAAGACCUCUCGCUAUCGGAGUGGCCGAUAUCGGAUUAGCUAGUAGGUGAGGUAAAGGCUCACCUAGGCGACGAUCCGUAGCUGGUCUGAGAGGACGACCAGCCACACUGGGACUGAGACACGGCCCAGACUCCUACGGGAGGCAGCAGUGGGGAAUUUUGGACAAUGGGCGCAAGCCUGAUCCAGCCAUGCCGCGUGAGUGAAGAAGGCCUUCGGGUUGUAAAGCUCUUUCAGCUGGAAAGAAAUCGUAUCUAUUAAUACUAGGUGCGGAUGACGGUACCAGCAGAAGAAGCACCGGCUAACUACGUGCCAGCCGCCGCAGUAAGAC